UGGGCCUUUGUUUUUGAGAAAAUUAACCGCCC
rnacentral:piRNA from 1 species